AGUGAACGCUGGCGGUAGGCCUAACACAUGCAAGUCGAACGGCAGCACAGUAAGAGCUUGCUCUUACGGGUGGCGAGUGGCGGACGGGUGAGGAAUACAUCGGAAUCUACUUUUUCGUGGGGGAUAACGUAGGGAAACUUACGCUAAUACCGCAUACGACCUACGGGUGAAAGCAGGGGAUCUUCGGACCUUGCGCGAUUGAAUGAGCCGAUGUCGGAUUAGCUAGUUGGCGGGGUAAAGGCCCACCAAGGCGACGAUCCGUAGCUGGUCUGAGAGGAUGAUCAGCCACACUGGAACGGAGACACGGUCCAGACUCCUACGGGAGGCAGCAGUGGGGAAUAUUGGACAAUGGGCGGAAGCCUGAUCCAGCCAUACCGCGUGGGGGAAGAAGGCCUUCGGGUUGUAAAGCCCUUUUGUUGGGAAAGAAAAGCAGCAGGUUAAUACCCCGCUGUUCUGACGGUACCCAAAGAAUAAGCACCGGCUAACUUCGUG
rnacentral:rRNA from 1 species